rnacentral:rRNA from 1 species
GAGUUUGAUCUUGGCUCAGGAUGAACGCUAGCGGCAGGCUUAACACAUGCAAGUCGAGGGGUAGAGUUAGCUUGCUAACUUGAGACCGGCGCACGGGUGCGUAACGCGUAUGCAAUCUACCUUGUACAGGGGGAUAGCCCAGAGAAAUUUGGAUUAAUACCCCAUAGUGUUAUGAUGUGGCAUCACAUUAUAACUAAAGUUCCAACGGUACAAGAUGAGCAUGCGUCCCAUUAGCUAGUUGGUGUGGUAACGGCAUACCAAGGCAACGAUGGGUAGGGGUCCUGAGAGGGAGAUCCCCCACACUGGUACUGAGACACGGACCAGACUCCUACGGGAGGCAGCAGUGAGGAAUAUUGGUCAAUGGGCGCAAGCCUGAACCAGCCAUGCCGCGUGCAGGAUGACGGUCCUAUGGAUUGUAAACUGCUUUUGUACAGGAAGAAACACUCCCCUCGUGAGGGAGCUUGACGGUACUGUAAGAAUAAGGAUCGGCUAACUCCGUGCCAGCC